CCGUAGUAUUUUAACUACGUAAAAGUAGCAGAAUCAUUUGUUUUGUAAUUUAAAACUAGAAUGAAGGAAUAAUUGGUAAAAUUUUAUAAAUUUUUAAAUAAAAUUUAAAUAAUAAAUAAAAAUUUUUAUAAAUUUUUUUAAAACGAUAAGACCCUAAAAAUUUAAAUAAAUUAAUUUUAUUUGGGUAAUAAUGUUUAAAUACUUGAUUUAAUUAAAAAUUACUUUAGGGAUAACAGCAUAAUUUUAAAUUAAUUUAAUUUUGUGACCUCGAUGUUGAAUUAUUUAUACUAAAUUUAAGUAAAAUUUUUUAAAAAGUAUGUUCUCCUUGUUUAUUUA
rnacentral:rRNA from 1 species